UGCAGGGGUAAAAACUCCGGUGGUACAGGAUGGACCCGCGUCUGAUUAGCUGGUUGGUGAGGUAACGGCUCACCAAGGCGACGAUCAGUAGCCGGCUUGAGAGAGUGAACGGCCACAUUGGGACUGAGACACGGCCCAAACUCCUACGGGAGGCAGCAGUGGGGAAUAUUGCACAAUGGGGGAAACCCUGAUGCAGCGACGCCGCGUGAGUGAAGAAGUAUCUCGGUAUGUAAAGCUCUAUCAGCAGGGAAGAAAAUGACGGUACCUGACUAAGAAGCCCCGGCUAACUACGUGCCAGCAGCCGCGGUAAUACGUAGGGGGCAAGCGUUAUCCGGAAUUACUGGGUGUAAAGGGUGCGUAGGUGGUAUGGCAAGUCAGAAGUGAAAACCCAGGGCUUAACUCUGGGACUGCUUUUGAAACUGUCAGACUGGAGUGCAGGAGAGGUAAGCG
rnacentral:rRNA from 1 species